rnacentral:rRNA from 1 species
GACGAACGCUGGCGGCGUGCUUAACACAUGCAAGUCGAACGGAAAGGCCCUGCUUUUGUGGGGUGCUCGAGUGGCGAACGGGUGAGUAACACGUGAGUAACCUGCCCUUGACUUUGGGAUAACUUCAGGAAACUGGGGCUAAUACCGGAUAGGAGCUCCUGCUGCAUGGUGGGGGUUGGAAAGUUUCGGCGGUUGGGGAUGGACUCGCGGCUUAUCAGCUUGUUGGUGGGGUAGUGGCUUACCAAGGCUUUGACGGGUAGCCGGCCUGAGAGGGUGACCGGGGAGGGUGGGAAUGAGAGAGGGGCGGGAGGACGACGGAAGGCGGGAGGGGGGAGUGGGGCACAGGGGGCGGGGGUCGGACACAGCAAUGGCGGGUGAGGAAGGACGGACGACGGUGGGUAAAAAAGGAUCGACUGCGACCAAGCGGGCGGGAGGGGAAUGAAUAAAGAAGAAGAGGAGACUUCUGUG